rnacentral:rRNA from 1 species
UGCACCUUAUUGGUUAGCGGCGGACGGGUGAGUAACACGUGGGCAACCUGCCUGUAAGACUGGGAUAACUUCGGGAAACCGGAGCUAAUACCGGAUAAUCCUUUUCCUCUCAUGAGGAAAAGCUGAAAGUCGGUUUACGCUGACACUUACAGAUGGGCCCGCGGCGCAUUAGCUAGUUGGUGAGGUAACGGCUCACCAAGGCGACGAUGCGUAGCCGACCUGAGAGGGUGAUCGGCCACACUGGGACUGAGACACGGCCCAGACUCCUACGGGAGGCAGCAGUAGGGAAUCUUCCGCAAUGGACGAAAGUCUGACGGAGCAACGCCGCGUGAGCGAUGAAGGCCUUCGGGUCGUAAAGCUCUGUUGUUAGGGAAGAACAAGUACCGGAGUAACUGCCGGUACCUUGACGGUACCUAACCAGAAAGCCACGGCUAACUACGUGCCAGCAGCCGCGGUAAUACGUAGGUGGCAAGCGUUGUCCGGAAUUAUUGGGCGUAAAGCGCGCGCAGGCGGUCCUUUAAGUCUGAUGUGAAAGCCCACGGCUCAACCGUGGAGGGUCAUUGGAAACUGGGGGACUUGAGUACAGAAGAGGAAAGCGGAAUUCCACGUGUAGCGGUGAAAUGCGUAGAGAUGUGGAGGAACACCAGUGGCGAAGGCGGCUUUCUGGUCUGUAACUGACGCUGAGGCGCGAAAGCGUGGGGAG